CGGGCCGCGCCGACCUGCUCGACGGCCGGCCCGCCCGCGCCCAGGGGCCCCGAACGGUGGGGCCGGGCCGGCGGCUGAGGCCUGUCCCCUUGGUUCCCAGGUGCCAUGAGGAAGCCGCGCCGGAAGUCGCGGCAGAAUGCCGAGGGCCGGCGUUCCCCAUCCCCCUACAGUCUGAAGUGUUCACCUACUCGGGAGACCUUAACAUAUGCCCAGGCCCAGCGGAUCGUUGAGGUGGACAUUGAUGGACGCCUGCAUCGAAUCAGCAUCUAUGACCCACUCAAAAUCAUUACAGAGGAUGAGCUGACCGCCCAGGAUAUUACCGAAUGCAAUAGUAACAAGGAAAACAGUGAGCAGCCUCAGUUCCCUGGUAAGUCCAAAAAACCCUCCUCCAAGGGCAAGAAGAAGGAGUCCUGUUCCAAACAUGGAUCUGGCACUUCCUUCCACCUCCCGCAACCCAGCUUUCGCAUGGUGGACUCAGGCAGCCAGCCAGAAGCACCCCCACUGCCUGCUGCCUACUAUCGCUACAUCGAGAAGCCACCUGAAGACCUGGAUGCCGAAGUAGAGUAUGACAUGGAUGAGGAGGACCUUGCCUGGCUGGACAUGGUGAACGAGAAGCGACGUGUAGAUGGGCAUAGUGUGGUGUCAGCAGACACCUUUGAGCUGCUGGUAGACCGGCUUGAGAAGGAGUCCUACUUGGAGAGUCGCAGCAGUGGGGCCCAGCAGUCACUUAUUGAUGAAGACGCCUUUUGCUGUGUGUGCCUGGAUGACGAAUGCCACAAUAGCAAUGUCAUUCUCUUCUGUGACAUCUGCAACCUUGCUGUACACCAGGAGUGCUAUGGUGUCCCCUAUAUCCCUGAGGGCCAGUGGCUAUGUCGCUGCUGCCUACAAUCUCCCUCCCGGCCUGUGGAUUGCGUCCUAUGCCCCAAUAAGGGUGGCGCCUUCAAACAGACCAGCGAUGGGCACUGGGCGCACGUGGUGUGUGCCAUCUGGAUCCCUGAAGUCUGCUUCGCUAACACCGUGUUCCUGGAGCCCAUUGAGGGCAUCGACAACAUCCCACCUGCCCGCUGGAAACUAACCUGCUAUAUCUGCAAGCAGAAGGGCCUGGGGGCAGCCAUCCAGUGCCAUAAGGUGAACUGCUACACGGCCUUCCAUGUGACAUGUGCACAGCGGGCUGGGCUUUUCAUGAAGAUUGAGCCUAUGCGUGAGACCAGCCUCAAUGGCACCAUCUUCACAGUACGCAAGACUGCCUACUGUGAGGCCCACUCACCGCCAGGUGCUGCCACUACUAGGAGGAAGGGUGACUCCCCUGGAAGCCUCAGUGAGGCUGGGGAUGAGGAAGGGCUGAAGGAGGGGUGUGGAGAGGAGGAAGAGAAGGAAGAGGUGGAAGAGGAAGAGGAAGAUGAAGGCCAAGGUGGGGUAGGUGGCCCCCUCAAGGGACUGCCCAAGAAGAACAAGAUGGCUUUGAAGCAGAAGAUCAAGAAGGAGCCAGAGGAAGUGAGCCGAGAUACACCCUCCACUGUCCCCAUGGUCACUGUCCCACAGAUACCUUCUUAUAGGUUGAACAAGAUCUGUAGUGGUCUCUCCUUUCAGAGGAAAAACCAGUUCAUACAGCGGCUUCACAACUAUUGGCUAUUGAAGCGGCAGGCACGGAACGGCGUCCCUCUCAUCCGACGCCUGCAUUCCCACCUGCAGUCCCAAAGAAAUGCUGAGCAGCGAGAGCAGGACGAGAAGACAAGUGCAGUGAAGGAAGAGCUAAAAUACUGGCAGAAGCUCCGGCACGACUUGGAGCGGGCGCGGCUGCUGAUUGAGCUGAUUCGGAAAAGAGAGAAGCUCAAGAGGGAACAGGUCAAGAUCCAGCAGGCUGCCAUGGAGCUGGAGCUGAUGCCAUUCAAUGUUCUGCUGAGGACCACACUGGACUUGCUGCAGGAGAAGGAUCCGGCACACAUCUUUGCUGAACCUGUCAACCUGAGUGAGGUUCCAGAUUACUUGGAAUUCAUAUCCAAGCCAAUGGAUUUUUCUACUAUGAGGCGGAAGCUGGAGUCUCAUCUAUACCGCACCUUGGAGGAGUUUGAGGAGGACUUUAACCUUAUAGUUACCAACUGCAUGAAGUAUAAUGCUAAAGACACAAUUUUCCACCGAGCAGCUGUCCGUCUGCGGGACCUGGGAGGGGCCAUCUUGCGGCAUGCCCGGCGGCAGGCAGAGAACAUCGGCUAUGACCCCGAGAGGGGCACCCACUUGCCUGAGUCACCCAAAUUGGAGGACUUUUACCGCUUCUCCUGGGAAGACGUGGACAACAUCCUCAUCCCAGAGAACCGGGCCCAUUUGUCCCCGGAGGUGCAGCUGAAGGAGCUGCUGGAGAAAUUGGACCUGGUGAGUGCCAUGCGGUCCAGUGGGGCCCGGACCCGCCGCGUCCGCCUACUGCGCAGAGAGAUCAAUGCACUUCGGCAGAAGCUGGCACAGCCACCACCACCACCACAGCCACCAUCACUGAACAAGACUGUGUCCAAUGGGGAGCUGCCAGCCGAGGCCCAGGGGGAUGUGACUGUGUUGGAGCAAGCCCCACAGGAGGAGCCAGAAGACGAUGGGGACAGAGACGAUUCCAAACUGCCUCCCCCACCAACCCUGGAGCCCACUGGGCCUGCACCUUCCCUGUCUGAGCAAGACUCUCCUCCAGACCCUCCUACUCUGAAACCCAUUAAUGAUAGCAAACCUCCAAGCCGAUUCCUAAAGCCCAGAAAGGUGGAAGAGGAUGAGCUCUUGGAAAAAUCACCUCUGCAGAUUGGGAGUGAGCCCUUGCAACGCCUGCUCAGUGACAAUGGCAUCAACAGAGUGUCUCUCAUGGCCCCUGAUGUCCCUGCUGGUACCCCACUCAGUGGCGUGGGCCGCCGCACGUCAGUCCUCUUCAAGAAGGCCAAGAAUGGGGUUAAGCUACAGAGGAGCCCAGAUAGGGCCCUAGAGAAUGGUGAGGACCAUGGUGCAGUGGGCUCUCCUGCCUCUCCGGCCAGCAUCGAGGAUGAGCAACACUCCCGGAAGCGGCCAAGAAGCAGGAGCUGUAGUGAGAGCGAAGGGGAGAGGUCCCCCCGGCAGGAGGAGGAGACAGGCGUGACCAACGGCUUUGGAAAACACACCGAAAGCGGGUCUGACUCAGAAUGUAGUUUGGGUCUCAGUGGUGGACUGGCAUUUGAAGCUUGCAGUGGUCUGACGCCCCCCAAACGCAGCCGUGGGAAGCCAGCCCUAUCUCGCGUCCCCUUCCUGGAAGGUGUAAAUGGAGAUUCUGACUACAGCAGCUCAGAAGCCUCCUGAUGCCCUUUGAAGACCGCGGAGACCUGGAGCCCCUGGAGCUGGUGUGGGCCAAGUGCCGAGGCUAUCCCUCCUACCCUGCCUUGAUCAUCGAUCCCAAGAUGCCCCGGGAGGGCCUCCUGCACAAUGGUGUCCCCAUCCCUGUCCCCCCGCUGGAUGUGCUGAAGCUGGGAGAGCAGAAACAGGCCGAGGCUGGAGAGAAGCUCUUCCUUGUCCUCUUCUUUGACAACAAGCGCACCUGGCAGUGGCUUCCAAGGGAUAAAGUGCUGCCCCUGGGUGUGGAAGACACCGUGGACAAGCUCAAGAUGCUAGAAGGCCGCAAGACCAGCAUCCGAAAGUCGGUGCAGGUGGCUUACGACCGUGCAAUGAUCCACUUGAGCCGGGUCCGGGGGCCCCACUCCUUUGUCACCUCCAGCUACCUGUAAGGGCAGGGCCUGCCUGUGUCUGCCUGCCCUGCCUCUGUCCCCUGAGGCACAGAGGCCUCUUCCUGCCCCAGCCAGUCAUAUGGCCGGCAGUUUCCCCUUUCCACAGCAGGCCAGGGACUGGUCUGUGUCCUCCCCAAGGGCAAGGCCCCAGUUUUGAACAACUGUGUGGUUCCCCUGGUGGGCCUGCUGUGUGCCAAAAACUCCCACCUGAGCUUGCUCAGGGGCUAGUCCACUAAAGAAUCAGUUAGAAGUAGAAAUAGCUGUGAGGCUUAGGCCUGGCCAAGGAGAUGCACCUGAACCCAGAAGGCAAGAAGUCCUAGGCUCUUUCUCAAAGGUGUGCCUGGCCCCCUCCUCCCCACUCCAGCUAACUACACCUCAGGGCAAGUGACGCUCUGAAAUUGACCCCAGAGGUGCUGUGGAUACACGAGGGUCCCGCGGGGAAGCUCACAGAGCUCACCCUCUCUCCCCUCCAUCACCCAUUCUCAUACCUCUUCCCCAUCCCAUCUUUGCACCAGUGCUGUUUCUUUUUCCCCAUGUUCCUUUCCUUUCUUUUGUGCCAAAUGGACAGAAACUAUCACCAAACUGGUCUUUUUUCUUUUUAUGUCUCAUUCCCUUUGAGGCCAGCUGCUAUGCUAGGUGGGUGCCUCUGCCUGGCUCCUCAGGGCCCAGGACAGAGGACAGCCUACCACUCGGGUGACCCCUCCACCAGCAUGCCCUCCCCCCCCCCCUCAUUUGCUGCAGACACACAGCUAAGGCCAGGCUGUGGAAGCUUGCCCCCUUGAAUUGAGGCAGGCCCCUUUUGCCCUCUCCCUGUGUGCCGAGAGACGGGCUGAGGCUUGGCAGGCUCCUGUCAGACCAGGCUGGUUGGGUGAGUGUUCAUCUGUCCACUUGGGUGCGGAGGGCUGUGGGGUGCAGCUGUGCUCUUCAGCCGGUCUGAUCCUUGCCCUCCUGUCCUGUCUCUGGGGGCUUCACUCUCCGCCACCACGGAUGGUGGUGCCCACAGCCCAGCAUCUCCCUGCCUGUGCUCUGCCCUGCCCAGCCUCUGCUGCUCCCACUCCCGAACUCCAGGGGACACCACGCUUUUAUUUCACACCCUCUCUCCCCUUCCCUCUCCUCCUUUCAAUCUCCCUCCUCACCUUCACCUUCUCAAAAACGGAAGGGAAAAAAAACCAAACUGUGAAACGGGGAAUGCUGACUGACAAACACAACUUUCAGAGGCUUCAGUGUCUGUUCUCUGGAUGAUUCUUCUCACCUCUUAAGCACCAAAGUCGCAGGGCCAGGUCGCAGGCCACUGAUCGCCAUGUUGAUUUUUAACCUGAUGUUCUUUUUAAUUGUUUUAAAUUUUUCAUAGGGGAGUUUUGGACAAAACAGUCACUGGGGAGAUCACUGCCAUUUUUACACACUCGACUUUUUAAAAAUACAACCAACCAACCAACCACCACAACUUCUUAAUAUGUUUGGGACAUGAGCCAGAGUUUAAAAGGGAACCAACAAAACUCUCUUGUUACCUAAAGGAUGGGGUUUUGGAUUUUGUACAAUAAUAAAAAUACAAUACAGCAUAUGGCUAGGGAAGGACAUGGUGUAUAUAUAAUUGUAAAAUACUGUUCUAAAUUAUUCAGGCCUAUAGUUUCCAUUCCUGGAGUCCUCCAUUGUGUGGCUGAGUAUUUUAAAUGCACACAGUGUGGUUUAUUUAAAGGAGUCAAUGCGUCCCCCCUUCUCCCCAGGUAGUCGGUCAGCUGUGGACUCUGUGACCUUUGUCUCAACCUGUGUUGUAAGAUCUCGGGGCUUUCUCUCUCUCUCUCUCUCUCUCUCCCCCCCCCCCCCCCCCCGUGUCUCUCCCCGCCCAACACUUUCUCUUUCUUAGUCUCUUUUUUUUUUUUUUUUUCCAAUCUCCUUGACUCUUAAAGUCUCUCUCUGAGUCUCAUUUUAAAACUGCUCUUUUAGAACGGGAAGCGGCUCAGAUCCUGCUGUGGCAUGGGGCCUAUGUGUCUCAGUCGCGUCUGCUGUGAAGCACACGAUGCUCUAUUUAUUGUAGAAAGUGACUUUAUUUGCUUUCUAGAAUUGUUUAUAACAGAUGGUAUAAGAGAGGUAAUAAACAGAGAAAAAUCUAUGCUUGUAAAGAAUACAAAAGUUAAUUUUACCUACUAUAAUAUGACUGUCUGAAACUUAUUUUCUCUCUGAGAAAUAAAUGUUCUAAUGGGCAGCAA